AACAAAACAUUGUUGAUGACCUUAUGACCUUGUCAUCAGGAAACAGAUGGCAGGGUGUGAGAUCACAUUGUAUCCUUAUCAACAGGAAAACAUCUCCAGUCACCAACAUCAUCACAAUGUUUUAAUAAGAAAGAGUUCUUUUAACUCAGAUUUUACACUUUAAAUAUCUUCAGUUGUUAUAUUUGUUUCACUCUAUUCAAAGGCUUUUGAGAAAAAGAGGUUCAAAUGUAGUUAUUUUUCAUUAGACACUUCGUUAGAUUUUAUUUCCUUAAAUAUAUACUUAUCAGAUAAAAGUUUUAAGUACUUAAUUUCCUAUUCUUUAUGCAGGAUAUACAAACUUAAAUAAUCUGUUUAAAUAAUCAUUUCCAAAACGUGGCAGAACAGCUUUUUCCUAGACAGGGCCAGAUUUUAAAUUCAAAAUUCUUCAUGCAGGAUAUGCACAUUUAAAAAAUCUGUUUAUAAUAAUAAGUUCCAAAACUUGGCAACACAAUUUUUUCCUAGAUAGGGCCAGAUUCAAAUGAAAAAGAUGAAUCAGAUGUAAAAAGACACAUAAGGUCAGAAGAAGACUUGUUCUUUUAAAAGAUUAAAGUAGUCAUGUUUCCUCUUAUUAAAAAAUAAUAGUUGGCUCAAAGUUCAAUCUCAUGUCAGACAUGGAACUGCCCAGGAGCAGUAUAUCCAACUCAAACCAGUUCUGCAGUAAGAUGCUACUGCUGAGAAGGUUUGAAUAUGAUAUUACUCAGAACUUAAAAAUAGUUCACUUUACGACUACAGACAUACUCAGAAUUACUAAAUAGUGAGCUUGGAAAAGUCAAUAUUCAAAUUUGUGUCCAAUUUGAGAUUUUUUAAGGGAAAAAAUAUCUACAUAUAUAUGGGAUAAACAGUAUUCUUGCAGAUUCUUAUGAAAACACAUUUGACACAGAACUCAAAAGAUUUCAACAUCUGCUCAUCAAAACAAUUAACUCGAACCUGCUUGAAAGUAACAUAUGAUAUUUAAUAUCUCAACAUCUAAACACUGUUUUUGUUAUAUCUCUUUACCAUCAAUAUGACCAAUAUGACCAUUUUCAAGUUCACAAACUUAUUAUUAUUAUGCAAACAAAUAUUUGAGACAUUUUAUAAUCAUUAUUUAACAAAUGUAUACA
rnacentral:lncRNA from 1 species